rnacentral:rRNA from 1 species
AUUGAACGCUGGCGGCAUGCCUUACACAUGCAAGUCGAACGGCAGCAUGGAGAGCUUGCUCUCUGAUGGCGAGUGGCGAACGGGUGAGUAAUGCAUCGGAACGUACCGUGUAAUGGGGGAUAACGUAGCGAAAGUUACGCUAAUACCGCAUACGACCUGAGGGUGACAGCAGGGGAUCGCAAGACCUUGCGUUAUACGAGCGGCCGGUGUCAGAUUAGCUAGUUGGGGAGGUAAAGGCUCACCAAGGCGACGAUCUGUAGCGGGUCUGGGAGGAUGAUCCGCCACACUGGGACUGAGACACGGCCCAGACCCCUACGGGAGGCAGCAGUGGGGGAUUUUGGACAAUGGGGGCAACCCUGAUCCAGCCAUGCCGCGUGAGUGAAGAAGGCCUUCGGGUUGUAAAGCUCUUUCGGCCGGGAAGAAAUCGCACAGGCUAAUACUCUGUGUGGAUGACGGUACCGGCAUAAGAAGCACCGGCUAACUACGUGCCAGCCGCCGCCGUAA